rnacentral:rRNA from 1 species
CCUACGGGAGACAGCAGUGGGGAAUAUUGCACAAUGGGGGAAACCCUGAUGCAGCGACGCCGCGUGAGUGAAGAAGUAUCUCGGUAUGUAAAGCUCUAUCAGUAGGGGAGAAAAUGACGGUACCUGAUCAAGAAGCCCCGGCUAACUACGUGCCAGCAGCCGUGGUAAUACGUAGGCGGCAAGCGUUAUCCGGAUUUACUGGGUGUAAAGGGAGCGUAGACGGCAGCACAAGUCUGGAGUGAAAUGCCGGGGCUUAACCCCGGAACUGCUUUGGAAACUGUGCAGCUAGAGUGCAGGAGAGGUAGGUGGAAUGCCUGGUGUAGCGGUGAAAUGCGUAGAUAUUAGAAAGAACACCAAUGGCGAAGGCAGCUUACUGAACUGUAACUGACGUUGAGGCUCGAAAGCGUGGGGAGCAAACAGGAUUAGAUACCCGUGUAGUC